AUGUACAUCCCUAUAACAUAGCAUUAAUACACCAUAUCCCAUAAUAAAUUCACAGUUAAGCAUGCUCAGGCCAGAGUAGUACUGGGAUGGGUGACCUCUUAGGAAGUCCUAGUGCUUUACAUG
rfam:Picea glauca, whole genome shotgun sequence.